GCCCGCUGGUCGGCAGUUCGGACAUCAAAUCCGGAU
rnacentral:tRNA from 1 species